GUCUAUCUGACCCCGCUCGGCUCGCCCGGUUCAGCCUCCCCCGGCCCCGCUCAGCCCUGCGCAGCCCGACCCGGCGAGUCCUGGCUCAGCGCUGCCGGGCCGCGGUCAGGAUCACGGAAUCGCAGAAUCAAUUAGGUUGGAGAAGACCUCUGAGAUCACCGAGUCCAACCUUUGGCCGAACACCGCUAUGUCAGCUAGACCAUGGCACUGACUGAGAUAUCCAGUCUUUUCUUAAACACUUCCAGGGAAGGUGCUCUGUGAUCUGGCAACCCUGGGAGAAGAAAUGUGUCCCGCCCAAGCUCAUCACCUUGCCCUUCCAGCUUCCAUAGGCCCCUUGUGUUGAAGCAUCCCUUCCCCAUUGCAGGAACAGAAAUGGACACUUGGAGAAAAAUCUGUGGACUGCUAGUAAUGUGGUAAAGGCAAGAGCUGAUGAAAGCUUUGAGGUCUUCUUUCUGGGCAGUCACCCCCAGGGAGAAGCAGCAUAUCCUUUGGAGGUGGUAGCAGAAUUCAUCCACUGCUUUGGGGGCAUUACAAUAUUAUGGUAAUGCUCUAGCCACUGCCAGAGGUUUGGCCAUAAUACCAGACGAUGUGUGGGAGUGCAAGCCUUCUUUCCAACACUUGGCAGCCCAUGGCAUGCUCUUUUGGGUGGAAAUGCUGCCUAUCUCCCCACCCCCUUCCCACCCAUUCAUUCCUCUGCAAAGCACAGUGUUGUCAUCCCCUCUGCUGCGCUAAUGCAUCCCCCGAGUUGAGGAGUGACACUGCUGGAUCUGCUGAAUGGUCCCAGCUAAUAAUACCCCCCAAUACCUCUUUAUUUUGGAAAGUUAUUCAAGGAUCCAGCUUGCAGAAUGGCAUGAUAAACAUCUUGGCGAAGCUGAGUUGGCAGCAGAAGGAAGUGUCAGGGCAGGAGUAAAUGUUUAGGGGCAAGGAAAUGGCAGAAACAUCUUCAGCUGCUGUGCAAUAAAAGACCAGAAGUAAUGAUUUGACACA